rnacentral:rRNA from 1 species
GGGGAUUAGUGGCGAACGGGUGAGUAACACGUGAGUAACCUGCCCUUGACUCUGGGAUAAGCCUGGGAAACUGGGUCUAAUACCGGAUAUGACCGUCUGACGCAUGUCAGGUGGUGGAAAGCUUUUGUGGUUUUGGAUGGACUCGCGGCCUAUCAGCUUGUUGGUGGGGUAAUGGCCUACCAAGGCGACGACGGGUAGCCGGCCUGAGAGGGUGACCGGCCACACUGGGACUGAGACACGGCCCAGACUCCUACGGGAGGCAGCAGUGGGGAAUAUUGCACAAUGGGCGCAAGCCUGAUGCAGCGACGCCGCGUGAGGGAUGACGGCCUUCGGGUUGUAAACCUCUUUCAGUAGGGAAGAAGCGAAAGUGACGGUACCUGCAGAAGAAGCGCCGGCUAACUACGUGCCAGCAGCCGCGGUAAUACGUAGGGCGCAAGCGUUAUCCGGAAUUAUUGGGCGUAAAGAGCUCGUAGGCGGUUUGUCGCGUCUGCUGUGAAAGACCGGGGCUCAACUCCGGUUCUGCAGUGGGUACGGGCAGACUAGAGUGCAGU